rnacentral:rRNA from 2 species
GGACUACUGGGGUUUCUAAUCCCGUUUGCUCCCCUGGCUUUCGCGCCUCAGCGUCAGUAGAGAUCCAGUGCGCCGCUUUCGCCUCCGGCGUUCCUUCCAAUAUCAACGCAUUUCACCGCUCCACUGGAAGUUCCGCACACCCCUAUCUCCCUCGAGACGAUCAGUAUCAAAGGCACUUCUACAGUUAAGCUGCAGGAUUUCACCCCUGACUUGAUCGACCGCCUACGCGCCCUUUAAGCCCAGUGAUUCCGAACAACGUUAGGACAGUUCGUCUUACCGCGGCGGCUGGCAC